rnacentral:misc_RNA from 1 species
GUAGGUGAACCUGCGGAAGGAUCAUUACAAAUCAUUGCGAGUUUAGUAGGGAGCUUUACGGCUUUCUAUUAAAUGAGCACAUUGGCACAAGGUCGCAAGAUCUUGAUGUUUACGCUUGUUUGUUUGACAGAGUAAAAUGUGACUAAAUAUAUACAACUUUUAACAAUGGAUCUCUUGGCUCUUGCAUCGAUGAAGAACGCAGCAU